AGUGCAAGAAAGAGCCACAGCUGGCCACAUUCGUGUUCAAAACGGCUGUAGUGUUCAUCUGUAAGGAUUACUCCAAGCAGAAGAAGAAAAUGGGUGGUUCUCACAGAGCAUCAGUCUCAGGUGAAGAGAAAGAUCCGUUCCGUUUCCGUCACAUAAUCCCCACUGAUGCGCUUCAAGUGCGCACACUGUCCAAUACAGAUGGAGAGAGUGCAGCCGUGUGUGAGAUCAUCCAUGUGAAGUCUGAAUCAGAGGGAAG